GGUCUUGAUCUCCUGACCUUGUGAUCCGCCCGCCUCGGCCUCCCAAAGUGCUGGGAUUACAGGCAUGAGCCACCAUGCCCGGCCGAGUCUGUACUCUUAAUCACUAUGUUGUUCUCCACAAAAAAAUAAGGCUGAUUUUUAUUUUUCUGUGCAUUUCUUCUUGCUGUCCCCUUCCUUAGCUUGUGAUGCUAUUUCUUUACCAAUUCUUGCUCAUCCUAUUCAUUCUGAGAAGCCCAGGCUAGAGUUCUCUUCUCAGACUAUGGAUAUCUACAUCGAGCUGGCUUCUCACAAUUGGCCCCUCAGUUUAUAUUUUCCUAAACUUUACUUGUAGACAUGUUAAAAUCACUGGAUUUACAAUUAGUGAUCUACACUGUAAUAACAGACCUAUUUGUCUGUCUUAUUUCUACCAAAGAUAUGGAACAGGGAGCUCAGAAACAGACCUAUAUGUAUCUGGACACCUGAUUUAUGAUGAAAAGGGCACUGCUGGGCAGUGGGGAAUGGAUGGUUAUUUUAAUAAAUAGUGCUGGUUCAACUGGAUAUCCACAGGAAAGAAAUGAAUCUUGAUCAUAUACAAAAAUAAAUUCCAGAGCGAUCAUCAAUCUAAAUGUUAAAAUUAAAACAAAACAAAACUUCAUCUACAAGAUAACAUAGAAUAUCUUUAUAACUUUCGGGUAUCUUUAUAACUUUGGGGUAGCCAUACAUUUCUUAAGACACAGAAAACACUAACUCUAAGGGAAAAGAUUGAUAAGUUGGAUGUCAUUAAAAUGAGGAACUUCUGAUCAUCAAGUGACAUCAAUAAAAGAGAGUGAAGGCAAUCAGAGAGAAGAUAUACUCAGUACCUAUACCUGGCAAGUGGAUUCAUAUCCAGAAUAUAUAAAUAAUUCCAACAAAUCUAUCAGUAAAAGAAUCUCUUCCCCCAACUAGACAGAAAAAAGUUCCAUACUUAACAAUUGUGAGUUGUAUGCAGUUUUCUUCUCCCAGUGCCAGGUUCUAACCAAUAUGUCCUGGAUCACUGGCACAGCCUGGUGGCUGGCCUUGGGAACUGACUGAUCUGGUGGCUCUUGGCAUUCUUUUGUGUUUGUACUGUGGGCCCUUCCUUUCCCAUGUGCUUUUUCACUUGCUAUUGGUUUGGCCACAAGAGGCUCCUGUCUCAUGAAUGCCUGUGUCUCUUCCUCUUUUCCUUUGGCUUGUUAACUUUUGAUCAGCUAUUUCAAGAAUAUUUCUCUCUGGCUUCUUCCCCCUGCCCUUCCUUUUUAAUUUCCCUUUUUGUACCUUCUUGUUUAGCCUAAAAACUUCUGGUUGUAAAAACCAUCCUAAAAUGUCUCCAAGUCUUUGGGGGAGUAGGCUUGUUCUCUGGGGCUCCAGAGGCAGAGUGGAGACCUGAAGGCUAGUAUUUCCCUGCAGAGAGAUUUUAUCUGAGUUGUGUUCUACUUGUCUGAGCCCUCCAAAGGUGUGGUGGGAGUUACUGAAUCAAGUGGGGGCUAGACCAUGACUUGGUCACGGUAGUGUUUGUGGAGGGUACUGUGCCUUGGAUGGGCAGCUGGAUUAUGAUAAGCCCUUCCAAUCUUAUCACCAAAGCCCUGGAUGGACCUUUUGUGCAUGUACAGAGAAGCGCUCUCAACUGGGAGACACAGCCAGUAUAUCAGCAUGACUUUUCUGCCUGGCUGGCAGGUCAGGAUGCACACAUAUUAUUAGUACUUCAGUUAAAUCACAUAUACUUGGAAGUCAUUUUGAUACACCUCUCCACCUGCAGCCCUCAGGGUAGGGCUAGUUGACAGCCAUUUACCAGAAGGUUUAAAUUUUCCUUAUUUUCCUCUAUGCUUAUUAUUUUCCUCAAAUGGCAGAUGUGUGAGGUAAAGUUUUCCUCUUUGGGUAUGUUCUUUAUUUUAUUUAAUUCUUCACUCUGGCAAUGCUUGCUCUUUUUUUUCAUUUCAAAUGUAUUGUAUUUUAGACACAUUUACAACCAGGAGAACAAACUGGAAGCUCUGUAGGUAUGUUCUGACCGUUAAAAUAUCUUGACAGUGUUAAAAAAAAAAUCAGGAGUUUAACAUAAAGCUAGUUUUCUACCUUGCCCUGAAAACCUGGAUGAUCUGGACUCUUUGGGUCUCUAUUCCCAGAUGGUCCCCAGGAAGCAGAGCUGGGAGGGUGGCCCAUCGGGAGUGGCGGGGUCCUUCCAAUGGGCACAUCCACGUCCCCCCCCCGCCCCAGCCCAGGCCACUGCACUCCUUCGUUACCUGCCUGGCCCCUGAAGACACUGGAGUUGAUGACUCCCUGGAGUGGAUAAAAUGGGCUUUUGUGAGCUAGCCUGAGAACCAAGCAGUAUGUUUGAUAUUAUUUCAUUGCAAAAGUGGAUCUCAGCUUUUAAAGUAAGCAGAUGUUUUAAAUAUCAGCAAUGCAAAUUUGGGAAUACUUAGCCUCAGCUGGAAUAUGUGUGUUCUCCAUGAUGGCCUGUGUCUGAUGCUUUUCCUGUACUGUAUAUUGGCUUAGCACUUAGUAGGUACUUAAUAAAUGAUUUACCUCAGGGGGUAGCCAAGUGCCUGUUGUUCGCCAGCUCCUAGGGAGUGAACAGAAAUGUCAUCUGGCUGUGGCCUGGGCCUGUCAGUUCCGCCUGAGACUGGAUCACUGCAGAUUUAUCUAGAACAUCCACUCUAGCUCUAGAUAACAGAAAUUGGAAUGUGUCCUCUGCACAGCUUCCCUGUCUGGAGAGCGAGGUAAAGACCUAGACCCUGUCAAGUCGGACCUAAAGAGGAAACAGGACAGGGAGGCCGGCAUGAAGCCGGCAUGAAGACUGCUUUUCCGGCUGUUGCCUGCAGAACUGGAGUUUGUGGCCGGUACACAGUGCUUGCAUUCCACACCCUGAACAAGGGCGGGUCAAAGUUCAGCUCAUUCCGUUUAAAGAAAAAAAUUCUUUGUCUUUGACAUUUCGAAGUUUUGACCCAGAUCAGUCAGAGGCCACGGAAUGCUCAUGAAGUCUGGAGAGUUUGUUUAGUUCCUGAGCCCGGUAGCUGCCGAGGAGCCAAAGAGAGCCGGCGACCUGUUGGGCUUGAACUGAAGCCUUGCCUUUUCAAGUUUGCGCUGGCCCGGCCUUCCCAGGCCUCCAAGGAGGACUCAGGAGAGCGCAGCUUGCUCUGUGAGUGGGUGACAACCUCUUGGCGACUCAGGCUCAGCUGAGGAUGGUGCCAGUGUGCCGGAGACAGCCAUCAUACUGCCGGAUAGAGUGGCUCACUUGCAUGCAUUUGGAACAAAAAAAGGAGAUGCCUGGCAGCCCCGCUCUCUGCAGUGCUGUUGAGCCACCAAUUUUUGUGGUUUUGUGACCACAAGUGCUGACUGAUGUCACAUGACUCCAGUCUUGUCAGUGAAUCAUCACCAGGCUGCUUACUGGAAACUGGAUGCAGCAAGGAAAUAGGAUUUAACCACUCUCUACCUCCCAGGAGCCCUGAAAUCAGCAUUCCCAGAGGAAAGAAGAUGGCCAUCUGGGCUUGGCUUCCGGCUCCCCCCAUCUGGCUGGAACACACAUCAGUCACGUAAGUAGCUGUGACUCAGCACCCAGCGCUGCCUUGGCAGAACCUUCCCACGUUCUGGAUUUGCACACAGUGUGGUAGCGCAGCACAAGCAAGCAGGGUUAGGCAACUGGGGGCCAGUGUCUGUUUGUUCAGUGGUUUUGCUUGUAGAUUUCAGAAACGAGGAUUCCUUCACCUUCCCGUUUUCCUCCGGUGUUAUUUUUUAGGUACCAUGCUAGGCUUUAAAGACAAAGCAUCAUUUACAGAAUGAAGCAGAAGCUGUCUUUGCAUCUCCAAACUGUUUUUAACCAACAGCCUAUAGAUUGUAUUUAACCCUCAGAUGUGUUUGACCUGCACGGGUUUUGGUUUUGGUUUUGGUUUUGGUUUGAGACAGGGUUUCACUCUGUAGCCCAGGCUGGAGUACAGUGGCACAGUAUCAGCUUGCUGCAACCUUUGCCUGCCAGGCUCAAGCAGUUCUCAUGCCUCAGCCUCCUGAGUAGCUGGGACUACAGGUGUGUGCCAUCACACCUGGCUAGGGUUAUUUUAAUGUAUCUGAUUUUGCAUGCAUUUAGACAAAGUAUGGCCUCUCCAGGACACUGUAUUUCUGCUGCCUGCUGUUACCACUUCUCUGUCUCAGGUUUCCUGCCUGAGCCCUCUGAGCAGCCUACCUCAGCCUCCUCUUUUACAUGUGAAGACACUGAGGCCUAUUCAGGGCAAGUGGCAGGUCCCUGUUCUCAGAGUUGGGGCCAAGCAGGUAUUAAAACCAUUGUGUUCUGAUUCUCUGUGUGCCCAGGCAGAUGAAUGCCCUGGUGUGAGGUGGAGAAACCUCCAGGUAGAAUGUGGGGACAGAAAUGGACCAGGCUGGAGUAUAGCUCCCACACCUUUUCCCUGCGUGGCAGCACUCACAAGACUGACAUACCCACCCUUCUGGGUGGGUGGUUUUCCUCCCCAGACAGCCAUGCCAACCUUUUCACCCUCGGCCAGUCUGUUUGGAGUCAUUAGGCUGAGGUGGGUAAAACCCGUCACCCUCCUUGGAUGGCAGCAGGCCGGGGUUUUCACGGGCUGCCUUCUUACAGGUCUAGGUGGCCUUCAGGCAUGGUGCCAAGGAGAGCAAGCCCCUUCCAGCCCUUGUCAAACUAACUGGCUGCUUUCUAGUAGGGAACAGCCACCAGCUUGUUUCAGCGAAGAGUCAUUGCUCAGCUAACUCUGAGAGGAGAAAACUGGUUCUGUUGGGAGGGCUGAGACCUGAAGGACCCCUUUUAUCCAGUGGAAUUGGAAAGGCAAAGGAUUUCAAUACUAACGUGAUUUUUUCUCCACUUCUUUUAGAGUGUUUAAUUAAAGUGAUGCAUUGUUAAUGGCUUCUUAUCUCUUCUUCCAGAGAGUUAAGAGUUAAAUUUUAGAAUCCAGGAGUGGGGACCCAGACUCUGGCUUCUGUUAACUCCCUCAGUGGCAGUGGCCCCCUGCUAUGCACAGCCCCUCUGCUGGACUCUGAAUGGUCCCUUACGGGUAGCAGGAGAGACGUUAAAUAAUCACACUGAUGACCAAGUGAGAUAAGUGGCUACUGAAGGAAAGAACUUGAGGCUGGCGAGGACCACUUAACCUUCUAGCAAGCCGAGCUAGACUCAGGGAGGCUUUCCUGAGCUGAGGGGAGGAUGACUGAAGUUCCCUGGAGUGGUGGGGGGUGGGGCGGGGCCGAGGGGUGGUAGCUAAGGGAAGGUGAAGGAGAGUAUUCCAGAAGAGACAACAGCUUAAGCAGGGCCUUGCGAUGGAGGGAGGUGCUUUCUGAUCACCGCGGAACACCUGUGUGAGGGCUCGUAGGAGGGGGUUUGUGGAUACUGGUAACUAGAAGUUGAUAAGGAAGAGUGGCUAAAAUGAAAAGUGGAAAAGUGAGAAUCUCAUCAAAUCCCCUCAUUUUACAGGAUUUGGACUCCCAGUAAUAACUGUCCUUAAACACUCACUCCUGACCUUACAACCAGGCUGUUACCUGGUUAACAAGCCCCAGGUGUUGGCUGCAGUUGUCAUCACUGAGAGCCCUUGUGUGCAUAUCUGCCCCGGCUCUCCCACCUGUGACUGAGGCUGGCAAGUCCCACCAUGGGCCAUAGAGCCUAGUGCUGGUGUCAGAAUCGCUUGUUGCAGGUUCAUCUUUGGGGUCUUUCCCACAGCCACAGCCAUGCUGAGGAAAGACGGCAGAGGAGCUAGAGAAGCAGGAGAACAAGCUGCCCCAGACCACCCAGCCUUCGCAGAACCCAGAUCGUGCUCCUGUCUCCGCCUAAGUAUAAUGCGUUAUGUAGUCAGUAUGAUCCCAAUCAGUGCAGAAGUAUCACCUAGGAAUUUCCUGCCCCACCCACCCUGUUUUGUUCUUAAUGAAGUUCAAAAACAAAAUGAGAUGAUAGUCAAGUUAUGGAGCAGGCUGCAGUGGGUACAAGGGUGGAAACGCAGUCUUUGGAGUUAGACCUGGGAUGUGCAUUUAUUGGUUGUGUGACUGCAGACAAGUUAUUUAGCCUCAUUAAGGAUGAAUUUCUUCUGCAAAAAUUGGAAUAAUACCUGCCCCAUACGACUGUUGUGAGAAUUAAAUACCACAACUUUUGAUGUUCAAAUUCUAUUUCUUACUUCUCCUUCUAGCAACACAUACUGUUAGUGCCAGGAACCAUAAAAAUUAUAAGCCUGUAUCUGGAGGCCAGAAUAAUUGGUAGGGAACCCAAAAUACACAGUUUCUACCCUGUCUCUUUUCUCUUGGUUAUGGUAUCAGAGGAAAUACACUUAUUUUCUUAGCUUCAGACAACCAAAAAAGAUGAUGCCGUAAGGAGAUGGGAAAUCUAAUUUGGAAUACAGUGUGCAAAUCUUAUUUUCAAGCAGAUUUUGAAAAUAAAACUCAAUUCUUAUGUUAGAGGAUUGUCUGCUUAAUACAAUUAUAGGGUACCAGUUUAAGUCACAUCAGAGGUUAAAUUAAGAUUGCAGAUUAACGGGGUCAUAUUUGAAUGUUCUGAUACUUACAUAUGAGGUGGGAAGGAGGAACGCAUGCUCUUCUCAAAUAAGACACGUAGAAGAGUUGCCCUGGCCCGGGUGGAAACUCACCUUUGUGUAGCAGCUGGAGCUUCACUCCAUAGGCAGUUAGGGUGCUUGUGUCCUGAUGAAGUAAGAGAAUAUAUCUGGAAACACUUUGUGUACUGUGAAAUACUAUACAAAUGCAGGGCAGUAUGAAUGUAAAUAUUAAUGUAUUUUAAUGAUAAUUUUGGCUAUUUUAUUUCAUCAUAUAUAAUAACUUAUGGUGACUGGUGUGAAGUUAAAUAGAAUUAACCUAGAAUUAAUGAGUUUUGUAUUGCUCUCAUCUAUUUGAAGCGUCAGCUGUGACUUUCAUGUUGCUCUGCGCAGCACUGUGUAACCUCCUUUGUGCCUUUCCCAUGGAGCACUGUGUCAUAUCACAAGUAGAACUGCAAGAAGACAUUUCUCCUCAGGGCAGAGGCUGGGGCUUCCGAUUGAAUCUCCCUUCUUUCUUCAUUGAGAUCCUCUUCUUCUGGAAGCUGGUUUCACAUGGUGGCUUAGAUUUUUCCAUCUUUGUAUCUAGCACCAUUUGAAAUCAGUGUUUUAGGAGUAAGAAUUGCAGCACAGCCAAGGGUGGACUGCAGAGGAACUGCUGCUCAUGGGACUGGCUCCUGUCCUCCUGCCACUUGAGUCUGUUCGAGAAGUUCAGGGAAGAACUUGAAGAGCAAAAUACACUCUUGAGUUUGUUGGGUUUUGGGAGAAGUGACAGUAGGGAAGGGGGUUGUGUUUAAAAUAAACACAGUGGCUUGAGCAGGGGCAGAGGUUGUGAUGCUAUUUCUGUUGACCCCAACAGCCGUUACCAGCAUGAAUGUGUUGGUAGGGCCUUUGAGUGUGGCAGUUGUCAUACUCUGUUGGAUAACAAUGUAUUGGGUAUCGGUUGUCAUGGGGCAGGGGAGAGGGCAGUACACCUUGAGGACCAUUUUGUCCACAUCAGCACCGUCAGUCUGCUCUUAGAGGAUGCCCUGGAGUAUUCAGCGUCAGUUGCGGGGCACCCGAAAUCAGACUUGCCACCUGGACUGUCGAGGUGCAGACCCUGGGAGCACCACUGGCCCAUCUCUUACACAGGCUGACCGAUUUCUCCUGGUGUUCAGAGUCUGUUUUUGUCUAGCACCAUUUGAAAUCGGUUAUGAUGUAGGGGGAAAAGCAGCAGCCUCGAAGUCUCAUGCCAAGUCUGGGCAGCAGCAGCCUGUGGUUUCCUGGAAGAUGGAUGGGCAGAGAAUGGGGAAGGAAGAUCAUGUUUUUCCCUACUAAUUUCUUUAACUGCAUGUAUGAUACGUUAUUGCAGAGGUAAGAGAUAGUUUAAUGGAUUUUAAAAAACAAAUUACUAUAAUUUAUCUGAUGUUCUCAGUUGCAUUUUGCUGAAAUGUAGUACUGCACUAAAUUCUAUAAAUUGAUUGCUGUUGAAUUAUCUUUCUGUUGAGAAGAGUCUAUUCAUGCAUCCUGACCUUAAUAAAUACUAUGUUCAGUUGAUCA